AUUUAGUCUCAUUCUGGAGAUACCAGAGUUCACCCAGAUUCUGUUCUUACAAGGAAGGCCAUUCAGAAGGGAUCUCAAACAGGGAAAAGCCACGGAAAACCACCAGAAGUUUCCAAAUGAGAGCUCACUAUGUCUACAGCUCCUGUCAAAUUUGGUCAAUCUUGCAAGGUCAAAUGCCCCUGAAAAGCUUCGCCCGGAGACAAAAAAGAUGAGAAAAUAUGAAGAAAUCAUGUUAUUGAUUUGAAAAACCAAACCAGCGUCUUGUUCAGCCAGAAGAACUUUGAGCAUGGAUCAAGAGUUCUGCUUGCUUCAGAAAAUAUAUCUGGCUUUUACCUUUCGUGUGCUGUUGUGGCCCAGCAAGAGCCAUUGGAGCUGCCA